rnacentral:rRNA from 1 species
UACGGGAGGCAGCAGUGGGGAAUAUUGCACAAUGGGCGAAAGCCUGAUGCAGCUAUGCCGCGUGUAUGAAGAAGGCCUUAGGGUUGUAAAGUACUUUCAUCGGGGAGGAAAAAACAAAACUAAUAAUUUUAUUUCUUGACGUUACCCGAAAAAGAAGCACCGGCUAACUCCGUGCCAGCAGCCGCGGUAAUACGGAGGGUGCUAGCGUUAAUCAGAAUUACUGGGCGUAAAGAGCACGUAGGUGGUUUUUUUAAAGUCAGAUGUGAAAUCCCUGGGCUUAACCUGGAACUGCAUUUUGAAACUGAAAUACUAGAGUAUCGUAGAGGGAGGUAGAAUUCUAGGUGUAGCGGUGAAAUGCGUAGAUAUCUGGAGGAAUACCUGUGGCGAAAGCGGCCUCCUAAACGAAUACUGACACUGAGGUGCGAAAGCGUGGGGAGCAAACAGGGAUUAGAU